UAUAUGUAUAUAAGUAUACCAGGUUGACCGAGUUUUGCUCGAAGUGCGUAUACUUUUUAAAGUUUUCAAGGUUUGAAUAUCAAAUACUGGUCAUUUG